rnacentral:rRNA from 1 species
CCCUUAGAUGCUCUGGGCCGCACGCGCGCUACACUGGUCGAUGCAACGAGUUUCUUUCCUUGGCCGACAGGCCUGGGCAAUCUUUGAACAUCGAUCGUGAUCGGGAUAGAUUCUUGUAAUUUUUGAUCUUAAACGAGGAAUUCCUAGUAAACGCAAGUCAUCAGCUUGCAUUGAUUACGUCCCUGCCCUUUGUACACACCGCCCGUCGCACCUACCGAUUGAAAGGUCCGGUGAAAUCUCCGGACUGGCGUGAGUCGGAGCAAUCUGACAAACACCGGAAAGUUGAUUAAACCUUACCAUUUAGAGGAAGGUGAAGUCGUAACA